CCCUUUUUUUACAAAAACAUGUCUUAAUGUUUUAUUUAUUAAGUCUGGCCUGGCUCAAUGAUUAUUAUUAAAUAGCCGCAGUAUAUUGACUGUGCGAAGGUAGCAUAAUCAUUUGUCUUUUAAUUGGAGACUUGAAUGAAUGGUUUUAUGAGGGAACAUCUUUCUUUAUAUUAAAUUUUGAAUUUAAUGUUUGUGUUAAAAAGCGUAAAUUUAUAAAUGGGACGAGAAGACCCUAUAGAAUUUUAUUUUAUAUAUAAUUAUUUGAUCUAUUGGUUUAUUAUUAGAUAUAAUUUAAUUUAGAAUUUUGUUGGGGCGACAUUGAGAUUUUUUUUACUCUCAUAUUUAAUUUUUUAUUAAUUUUUAUAUUUAGGAUCCUUUAUUUAUGGAUAUUUAGUUUAAAUUACCUUAGGGAUAACAGCGUAAUUUUUUUGGAGAGUUCUUAUUGAUAAAGAAGUUUGCGACCUCGAUGUUGGAUUAAAAUUAGAUUUAAGUGCAGAAGCUUAAUUUUCUAGGUCUGUUCGACCUUUAAAUUUUUACAUGACGGGUUUUAAACCC
rnacentral:rRNA from 1 species